rnacentral:rRNA from 1 species
AGAGUUUGAUCCUGGCUCAGGAUUAACGCUGGCGGCAUGCCUAAUACAUGCAAGUCGAACGAAAAAUAUAUAGAUGCUUGCAUUUAGAUAUUUUUAGUGGCGAACGGGUGAGUAAUAUAUAGAUAACCUGCCUUAAAGUUGGGGAUAACAGAGGGAAACCUCUGCUAAUACCGAAUACGAUAACUAGACGCAUGUUUAGUUAUUAAAAGGGGCUCCAAAGCCCCGCUCUAAGAGGGGUCUAUAUCGCAUUAGCUAGUUGGUAAGAUAACAGCCUACCAAGGCGAUGAUGCGUAGCUGUACUGAGAGGUAGAACAGCCACAUUGGGACUGAGAUACGGCCCAAACUCCUACGGGAGGCAGCAGUAGGGAAUUUUCGGCAAUGGGGGGAACCCUGACCGAGCAAUGCCGCGUGAUUGAAGAAGAUCUUCGGAUCGUAAAGAUCUGUUAUUAGGGAAGAAUGGAAUUGAUAGGAAAUGAUCAAUUUAUGACGGUGCCUAAUGAGGAAGCCCCGGCUAACUAUGUGCCAGCAGCCGCGGUAAUACAUAGGGGGCGAGCGUUAUCCGGAAUUAUUGGGCGUAAAGGGUACGUAGGCGGGCCUGCAAGUCUGAUUUGAAAGCACACGGCUUAACCGUGUGAGGUAAUUAGAAACUACAGGUCUAGAGAGUGGUAGAGGUAAAUGGAAUUCCAAGUGGAGCGGUGAAAUGCGUAGAGAUUUGGAGGAACACCAGUGGCGAAGGCGGUUUACUGGGCCACAUCUGACGCUGAUGUACGAAAGCGUGGGGAGCAAACAGAAGUAGAUACCCUGGUAGUCCACGCCGUAAACGAUGAUUACUAGGUGUCGGGGGGGUAUAAACCUUCGGUGCCGCAGCUAACGCAAUAAGUAAUCCACCUGGGGAGUAUGUUCGCAAGAAUGAAACUCAAAGGAAUUGACGGGGACCCGCACAAGCGGUGGAGCAUGUGGUUUAAUUUGAAGCAACGCGAAGAACCUUACCUGGUCUUGACAUCCCUCCGACAGCCUCUUAAUCGAGGUCUUUCUUCUGAACAGAGGAGACAGGUGGUGCAUGGUUGUCGUCAGCUCGUGUCGUGAGAUGUUGGGUUAAGUCCCGCAACGAGCGCAACCCCCAUCUUUAGUAGCCAGCAAGCUAAGUUGGGAACUCUAGAGAGACUGCCGGGGAUAACCCGGAGGAAGGUGGGGAGGACGUCAAAUCAUCAUGCCCCCUAUGACCAGGGCUACACACGUGCUACAAUGGCGUAAACAAAGGGAAGCAAGACAGCGAUGUUAAGCAAAUCCCAAAAAUAACGUCCCAGUUCGGAUUGUAGUCUGCAACUCGACUGCAUGAAGCUGGAAUCGCUAGUAAUCGCGAAUCAGAAUGUCGCGGUGAAUACGUUCCCGGGUCUUGUACUCACCGCC